AGAGUUUGAUCCUGGCUCAGGAUGAACGCUAGCGAUAGGCUUAACACAUGCAAGUCGAGGGGCAGCACUGGCAGCAAUGCUUGGUGGCGACCGGCGCACGGGUGCGUAACACGUAUGCAACCUGCCUGUAAGUGUGGGAUAGCCUCCUGAAAGGGAGAUUAAUACUGCAUAACAUGUUUUUACUGCAUGGUAUUUACAUCAAACAUUUAUGGCUUACGGAUGGGCAUGCGUUCCAUUAGGCAGUUGGUGUGGUAAUGGCUCACCAAACCUACGAUGGAUAGGGGUUCUGAGAGGAAGGUCCCCCACACUGGAACUGAGACACGGUCCAGACUCCUACGGGAGGCAGCAGUGAGGAAUAUUGGUCAAUGGUCGCAAGACUGAACCAGCCAAGUCGCGUGAAGGACGACGGCCCUAUGGGUUGUAAACUUCUUUUACAGGGGAAUAAAGUGCGCCACGUGUGGUGUUUUGUAUGUACUUUGUGAAUAAGGAUCGGCUAACUCCGUGCCAGCAGCCGCGGGAAUACGGAGGAUCCGAGCGUUAUCCGGAUUUAUUGGGUUUAAAGGGUGCGUAGGCGGAAAUGUAAGUCAGUGGUGAAAUCCUGCAGCUUAACUGUAGAAUAGCCGUUGAAACUGUGUUUCUUGAGUACAUUUGAGGUAGGCGGAAUGUGGUGUGUAGCGGUGAAAUGCAUAGAUAUACCACAGAACACCGAUUGCGAAGGCAGCUUACUAAACUGUCACUGACGCUGAUGCACGAAAGCGUGGGUAUCAAACAGGAUUAGAUACCCUGGUAGUCCACGCUGUAAACGAUGAUUACUGGGUUGUUUGCGAUUACACUGCAAGUGAUGAAGCGAAAAGCAUUAAGUAAUCCCCCUGGGGAGUACGUCGGCAACGAGAAACUUCAAAAGGAAAUGACGGGGGCCCGCACAAGCGGAGGAACAUGUGGUUUUAAUUCGAUGAUACGCGAGGAACCUUACCUGGGUUUAAAUGGGGAGUGACAGGCUUGGAAACAGGCUCUUCUUCGGACACUCUUCAAGGUGCUGCAUGGUUGUCGUCAGCUCGUGCCGUGAGGUGUCGGGUUAAGUCCCAUAACGAGCGCAACCCCUAUCGAUAGUUACCAGCACGUUACGGUGGGGACUCUAUCGAGACUGCCGGUGUAAACCGUGAGGAGGGUGGGGAUGACGUCAAAUCAGCACGGCCCUUACAUCCAGGGCUACACACGUGUUACAAUGGCCGGUACAAAGGGCAGCUACACAGCGAUGUGAUGCUAAUCUCCAAAUCCGAUCUCAGUUCGGAUCGAAGUCUGCAACCCGACUUCGUGAAGCUGGAUUCGCUAGUAAUCGCGCAUCAGCCAUGGCGCGGUGAAUACGUUCCCGGGCCUUGCACACACCGCCCGUCA
rnacentral:rRNA from 1 species